rnacentral:rRNA from 1 species
AUUGAACGCUGGCGGCAUGCCUUACACAUGCAAGUCGAACGGCAGCACGGGAGCUUGCUCCUGGUGGCGAGUGGCGAACGGGUGAGUAAUACAUCGGAACGUACCCAGGAGUGGGGGAUAACGUAGCGAAAGUUACGCUAAUACCGCAUAUUCUGUGAGCAGGAAAGCGGGGGAUCGCAAGACCUCGCGCUCUUGGAGCGGCCGAGGUCGGAUUAGCUAGUUGGUGAGGUAAAAGCUCACCAAGGCGACGAUCCGUAGCAGGUCUGAGAGGAUGAUCUGCCACACUGGGACUGAAACACGGCCCAGACUCCUACGGGAGGCAGCAGUGGGGAAUUUUGGACAAUGGGGGCAACCCUGAUCCAGCCAUGCCGCGUGAGUGAAGAAGGCCUUCGGGUUGUAAAGCUCUUUCGGCGGGGAAGAAAUGGCAGCGGCUAAUAUCCGUUGUUGAUGACGGUACCCGCAUAAGAAGCACCGGCUAACUACGUGCUAGCCGCCGCCGUAAUAC